AUACCUUUCUCGGCCUUUUGGCUAAGAUCAAGUGUAUUAUCUGUUCUUAACAGUUUAAUAUCUGAUAUGUGGGUCAUUGGCCCACUCGAUAUUAAUCUAAUUUUUUAUGGGGAAAGAUCCGUCACAAUAGCUUGCUAUUGAGGUUUUUGGUGUUGACGUUGCACUUUUGCCUUGGCAUGGCGAACCCCU